rnacentral:snoRNA from 1 species
CGCAGUGAUGAACUUAGUAAAUAAUCUCGUUAAUCUGAUGAUUAUGAGGAUAAACUCUCCAAUCCAUUCUAGCAUAUUCCGAGC